rfam:Salmo salar isolate Sally breed double haploid chromosome ssa23, whole genome shotgun sequence.
UGCACUCACUGUUGUAAGUUGCUUUGGAUAAAAGCAUCUGCUAAAUGAAUGUAU